GGGAGCCCAGACGAGCCGGGUGGAGCCCAGAGGAGCCCAGAGGAGCCCAGAGGAGCCCCAGAGGAGCCUGGUGGAGCCGGGUGGAGCCGGGUGGAAUGUAUCGAGGACUGAGAGAGCAUCAAAUGCAGUUUCAUGUUGUGACUUAAUUUUCCCCGUCAGAACAGAACGGCCGGCUGUGUGUCGCACGCACACGGACACACACACACACACACAUGCUCUCUCACACACACACACACACACACAGGCCUGCAGGCUGUGUGGUUUCCUCACAAGUUUUCCGUCACGUCACAAGAAUGUAAUAUUUAAUUUCUUCCCUUGUUGAACUCGUCAACAAUGAGAUUAAUCCAUAAGUGUUUUGUUUUUUUUACUUUAAAAUAUGGAAAUUAUGGCUAGAAAUCUGGUGCACUUUAUUUCCAGCGUCCACUCAAUGCAGAUGUGCGUUCGGACGGACCCACAAACACGUCGUUGUCAGUGUCACCGUCUUCAUCUUCCUCCACGUGGAGUAUUGUUAUUAAUAUUGCGUUGUCCUUUCAACUGACUCUAAUAGGAGUCCAUUCAUUUCAUUUUGUCGUCCUUGUCCUGAAGUUGACGUGUGAGACAAAGAUAAGAAAAGAAGACGUCGGGCUCGGUGGUUUGCGGUCUUGUGGUUGGGGGGGUCAAAGGUCGACGCAAACGCACAGAGAUGAACUCUGUGGCUUCGUUUGGUGGUUCUCCUCUGGCAGCGAUGGACGUCAGAAUGGACACUGAAAAAAACCAAAUGUGAGUUUAAAGAAAAGAUGUGAAUGUUUCUUGUGGAGUUAUUUCAUGGCGAAGAGAUGCUGAAAAGAGAUUGCCACUUUAAUCGUUGAAAUACUGUCAUUACUAUGAGUAUUAAUAUUAUGUUUGUGUUGAGAUGUGAUACACGCGUGGUUACAUGUCGUCCGAGUCGACUCGUUUCUUUCCCUUUCUUUUUGCUGCGGGCGGAAGCGUUUGCUCUAUUUAAUAUGAUGUGAUGUGACUUAUUAACAAUGUGAAGAAAAAAAGAUGUGUAUAUAAAAGCAAACCAGCUUUGACAAAUGCAGUUGUAAAUACUGUCCUCACACUGGACUCUGACAGCCGGACACACGGUGCCGCUAACAUGCUAACAGGACGAGCUGCAGCUUCCACCCUCCGACUGCUUCCUUCGCAUUCAUUUCUUUUCUUCCUUUUUGAAAUAAAAAGGAAGACAUUUGAUCACUAAAGCGUCUCCUCUGAGUUUGAGUCCACCCAGGAGGGUGAACAGCUAAAGGGGGGGGGGGGUCUGUGUCGUGUAAAGGUGCUAUGUGAAGCGUUUUGACAUUAAUAAAAUCGUUA
ensembl:lncRNA